rnacentral:lncRNA from 1 species
GGCUGACAACAACGAAAAUGGCUUCUCUGUAUUACAGAGGUGCAGUUGUGUACAACGGUGCCGCGCAUCCGCUCGACAGAAAAUAUUUUGCAGCCGAGC